GACGAACGCUGGCGGCGUGCUUAACACAUGCAAGUCGAACGGAAAGACCCUGCUUUUGUGGGGUGCUCGAGUGGCGAACGGGUGAGUAACACGUGAGUAACCUGCCCUUGACUUUGGGAUAACUUCAGGAAACUGGGGCUAAUACCGGAUAGGAGCUCCUGCUGCAUGGUGGGGGUUGGAAAGUUUCGGCGGUUGGGGAUGGACUCGCGGCUUAUCAGCUUGUUGGUGGGGUAGUGGCUUACCAAGGCUUUGACGGGUAGCCGGCCUGAGAGGGUGACCGGCCACAUUGGGACUGAGAUACGGCCCAGACUCCUACGGGAGGCAGCAGUGGGGAAUAUUGCACAAUGGGCGGAAGCCUGAUGCAGCAACGCCGCGUGCGGGAUGACGGCCUUCGGGUUGUAAACCGCUUUCGCCUGUGACGAAGCGUGAGUGACGGUAAUGGGUAAAGAAGCACCGGCUAACUACGUGC
rnacentral:rRNA from 1 species